rnacentral:sRNA from 1 species
GCUGGGCAUGGGGCACGCCUGUAAUCCCAGCAGCUCAGGAGGCUGAGGCAGGAGGAUUGUGAGUUCAAAAAUAGCCUCAGCAACAGCAAGGCAAGGCACUAAGCAAGUCUUGAGACCCUGUCUCUA